CAAAAAAUAGUUUAAAGUAAAACAUUUUAUUUACAUUAAAAAUAUAUAAAUAUUUAUUUUUUUGA
rnacentral:tRNA from 1 species